AUUGAACGCUGGCGGCAUGCUUUACACAUGCAAGUCGAACGGUAACAGGCCGCAAGGUGCUGACGAGUGGCGAACGGGUGAGUAAUGCAUCGGAACGUGCCCAGUCGUGGGGGAUAACUACUCGAAAGAGUAGCUAAUACCGCAUACGAUCUAUGGAUGAAAGCGGGGGACCGUAAGGCCUCGCGCUAUUGGAGCGGCCGAUGUCAGAUUAGGUAGUUGGUGGGGUAAAGGCUCACCAAGCCAACGAUCUGUAGCUGGUCUGAGAGGACGACCAGCCACACUGGGACUGAGACACGGCCCAGACUCCUACGGGAGGCAGCAGUGGGGAAUUUUGGACAAUGGGCGCAAGCCUGAUCCAGCAAUGCCGCGUGCAGGAAGAAGGCCUUCGGGUUGUAAACUGCUUUUGUACGGAACGAAACGGCUCUGGUUAAUACCCGGGGCUAAUGACGGUACCGUAAGAAUAAGCACCGGCUAACUACGUG
rnacentral:rRNA from 1 species